rnacentral:rRNA from 1 species
CUGCGAAUGGCUCAUUAAAUCAGUUAUCGUUUAUUUGAUAGUACCUUACUACUUGGAUAACCGUGGUAAUUCUAGAGCUAAUACAUGCUAAAAACCCCAACUUCGGGAGGGGUGUAUUUAUUAGAUAAAAAACCAACGCCCUUCGGGGCUCCUUGGUGAUUCAUAAUAACUUAACGGAUCGCAUGGCCUUGCGCCGGCGACGGUUCAUUCAAAUUUCUGCCCUAUCAACUUUCGAUUGUAGGGUAUUGGCCUACAAUGGUUUCAACGGGUAACGGGGAAUUAGGGUUCGAUUCCGGAGAGGGAGCCUGAGAAACGGCUACCACAUCCAAGGAAGGCAGCAGGCGCGCAAAUUACCCAAUCCCGACACGGGGAGGUAGUGACAAUAAAUACUGAUACAGGGCUCUUUUGGGUCUUGUAAUUGGAAUGAGUACAAUUUAAACCCCUUAACGAGGAACAAUUGGAGGGCAAGUCUGGUGCCAGCAGCCGCGGUAAUUCCAGCUCCAAUAGCGUAUAUUAAAGUUGUUGCAGUUAAAAAGCUCGUAGUUGAACCUUGGGCCUGGCUGGCCGGUCCGCCUCACCGCGUGCACUGGUCCGGCCGGGCCUUUCCUUCUGGAGAGCCGCAUGCCCUUCACUGGGUGUGUCGGGGAACCAGGACUUUUACUUUGAAAAAAUUAGAGUGUUCAAAGCAGGCCUUUGCUCGAAUACGUUAGCAUGGAAUAAUAGAAUAGGACGUGCGGUCCUAUUUUGUUGGUUUCUAGGACCGCCGUAAUGAUUAAUAGGGAUAGUCGGGGGCAUCAGUAUUCAAUUGUCAGAGGUGAAAUUCUUGGAUUUAUUGAAGACUAACUACUGCGAAAGCAUUUGCCAAGGAUGUUUUCAUUAAUCAGUGAACGAAAGUUAGGGGAUCGAAGACGAUCAGAUACCGUCGUAGUCUUAACCGUAAACUAUGCCGACUAGGGAUCGGGCGAUGUUAUUAUUUUGACUCGCUCGGCACCUUACGAGAAAUCAAAGUUUUUGG